UGGGGAAUAUUGCACAAUGGGCGCAAGCCUGAUGCAGCCAUGCCGCGUGUGUGAAGAAGGCCUUCGGUUGUAAAGCACUUUCAGCGAGGAGGAAGGUGGUGAACUUAAUACGUUCAUCAAUUGACGUUACUCGCAGAAGAAGCACCGGCUAACUCCGUGCCAGCAGCCGCGGUAAUACGGAGGGUGCAAGCGUUAAUCGGAAUUACUGGGCGUAAAGCGCACGCAGGCGGUUUGUUAAGUCAGAUGUGAAAUCCCCGGGCUCAACCUGGGAACUGCAUUUGAAACUGGCAAGCUAGAGUCUCGUAGAGGGGGGUAGAAUUCCAGGUGUAGCGGUGAAAUGCGUAGAGAUCUGGAGGAAUACCGGUGGCGAAGGCGGCCCCCUGGACGAAGACUGACGCUCAGGUGCGAAAGCGUGGGGAGCAAACAGAUUAGAUACCCUGGUAGUCCACGCUGUAAACGAUGUCGAUUUUGGAGGUUGUG
rnacentral:rRNA from 1 species